GUUCCGGUGGCCUAGUGGUUAGAGCAUCCGCCUCGGAUGCAAGAGGUCGUGGGUUCGAACCAUGGCCGAAAAA